UAAGGAAUAUUGGGCAAUGGAGGCAACUCUGACCCAGCCAUGCCGCGUGAAGGACGAAGGCCCUACGGGUCGUAAACUUCUUUUGUCAGGGAAUAAAGUCGCCUACGCGUAGGCGUUUGCAGGUACCUGAAGAAUAAGCGUCGGCUAACUCCGUG
rnacentral:rRNA from 1 species